rnacentral:rRNA from 1 species
GACAGAGGUGCCGAGCGUUAGGCGGAAUCACUGGGCUUAAAGCGUGUGUAGGCGGGCCGUUAAGUACCUUGUGAAAUCCCCCGGCUCAACCGGGGAACGGCUGGGUAUACUGGCGGCCUUGAGCGGCCUAGGGGCAGAUGGAACAGACGGUGGAGCGGUGAAAUGCGUAGAUAUCAGGAGGAACACCGGUGGCGAAGGCGGGUCUCUGGGCCGAUAUUGACGCUGAGGAGCGAAAGCGUGGGGAGCGAACAGG